AGUAGGUGGCGGUAUACACUUUGGAUGCUGUUGUUUACCCGGCGAUGAGAACAGAGCGUCGCGCGCUGUAGCGGUUGCGCAGUCGGUGCGAGCUCGUGCGAGGUCUGCUGUCAGUCACCGGGAGACCGCCAUGUCCAAAGAGCAACAGACCCCCCGUGAGCCUGAGCAGCUCCGAAAGCUCUUUAUCGGGGGUCUCAGUUUUGAGACAACAGAUGAGAGUCUAAGGGCCCACUUCGAGCAAUGGGGGACUCUUACAGACUGUGUGGUGAUGAGGGACCCCAACACAAAGAGGUCGAGGGGUUUUGGGUUUGUGACCUAUAGUUCGGUGAAUGAGGUGGAUGCGGCGAUGGAUGCUCGUCCGCACAAAGUGGAUGGAAGAGCUGUUGAACCCAAGAGGGCAGUGUCUAGAGAAGACUCGAGCAGACCAGGUGCUCACUCCACUGUUAAAAAAAUGUUUGUUGGUGGAAUCAAAGAAGACACGGAUGAGGAACAUCUGCGCGAGUAUUUCAGCCAGUUUGGUAAAAUUGACGAGGUGAACAUCAUGACUGAGAAGAACAGUGAUAAGAGGAGGGGCUUCGCCUUCAUAACAUUUGAUGACCAUGAUGCUGUUGACAGGAUUGUCAUACAGAAAUACCACACAGUAAAUGGACACAACUGUGAAGUCAGGAAAGCUCUCUCCAGAGAGGAAAUGAACAGGGUGUCAGUGAAUCAACGAGGCGGGCGAGGAGGAGGAGGUGGUGGAGGUGGUGGUGGUGGUGGAAACUUUGGCAGAGGUGGAGGAUAUGGAGGUGGAUAUGGAGGAGGAAGAGGUGGUUACGGUGGAGGCGAUGGAUAUAAUGGCUAUGGAGGGAAUGGUGGCUAUGGUGGAGGUGGACCUAAUUAUGGUGGUAACCGUGGUUAUGGUGGAGGCAGCGGAGGUGGCGGCGGCUAUGGAAACCAGGGUGGAGGCUACGGUGGCGGCGGCGGUGGCUAUGAUAACUACAACAAUGGUGGUGGAGGCAACUUCGGAGGAGGCAACUUUGGAGGUGGCGGAGGCUACAAUGACUUUGGCAACUACAACAAUCAAUCUUCCUCUAACUAUGGCCCGAUGAAGGGAGGAAACUACGGAGGUGGUGGAAGGAGUGGUGGCGGUGGCGGCCCAUAUGGCGGUGGUUAUGGAGGAGGCUCUGGUGGUGGUUAUGGAGGAGGCUCUGGUGGGAGAAGGUUUUAGACUCCAGGGGAUAUAAACUUAUGGAUUGUAUACCUGAGACAUGGUUAGCGCUAGUUCAUGAAGGCUGGUGAUCUCGAAGGGUAGCUAAAGACUGAGGCCUACCCCAAAAACAGCAACUGUUCAAACAUUUUAACACUGGAUUAUUUUGCUGUUUUAUCCACAUUGACACAUGGCCAGAAUAUUUGAAUUGGUUGUGAGAGCGCCGAGUCAAAAACCAAACAAUAUCUGCUGGACAGCAUUAGAAAUUUUGUAACUUUUCAAUGUUUUUUUUAAUAGUGCAGUUUUUUAAGUAUAGUAUCAAAUGCUUUAUUUACCAAAGCAGUGAUUUUACACCUAUUUAUAUUUUGUGAUUCAGCUGGGAUUAAAAGCACAUGUAACAGCCAGACUAUAGAAAAUUAAUCAACCGAUCAAGUGAAAAAGGGUCUAUGUAUGAUAUGUCAACAUAUCAGCUGAGUUGUCUUGAGAAAUGUGAGCAAUAAAAUAUAUUUUGAUUAUA